CUCAGAGGGUGAGAGCCCCGUAGGUCGGUACGAGCUCCUACACGGAGUGCUCACGCAGAGUCGGGUUGUUUGGGAAUGCAGCCCCAAUUGGGUGGUAAACCCCAUCUAAGGCUAAAUACCUGUGGGAGACCGAUAGCAAAAA
rnacentral:rRNA from 1 species